rnacentral:rRNA from 1 species
UGGGGAAUAUUGCACAAUGGGCGCAAGCCUGAUGCAGCCAUGCCGCGUGUAUGAAGAAGGCCUUCGGGUUGUAAAGUACUUUCAGCGGGGAGGAAGGGAGUAAAGUUAAUACCUUUGCUCAUUGACGUUACCCGCAGAAGAAGCACCGGCUAACUCCGUGCCAGCAGCCGCGGUAAUACGGAGGGUGCAAGCGUUAAUCGGAAUUACUGGGCGUAAAGCGUGCGUAGGUGGUUUGUUAAGUCUGAUGUGAAAGCCCUGGGCUUAACCUGGGAAUUGCGUUGGAAACUGGCAAGCUAGAGUCGGACAGAGGGUCGUGGAAUUUCCGGUGUAGCGGUGAAAUGCGUAGAGAUCGGAAAGAACAUCAGUGGCGAAGGCGUCGACCUGGGUCCAGACUGACACUGAGGUGCGAAAGCAUGGGGAGCAAACA